rnacentral:rRNA from 1 species
UACGAGGGGUGCAAGCGUUGCUCGGAAUUAUUGGGCGUAAAGGGUAGGUAGGUGGUCUCAUUUGUCUGGGGUGAAAGCCUUGAGCUUAACUCAAGAAGUGCCCUAGAAACGGUGAGACUAGAGUCCUGGAGAGGGUCGUGGAAUUCCCGGUGUAGCGGUGAAAUGCGUAGAGAUCGGGAGGAACACCAGCGGCGAAGGCGGCGACCUGGACAGGUACUGACACUCAAAUACGAAAGCGUGGGGAGCAAACAGG